rnacentral:lncRNA from 1 species
ACGGGUUGAGUACUUAAAUUUUAUAUCACAAUUAUUAUAAAAAAGUUUGCAUACUUUAUGCAUUGGAUAUUGCAGUUUUUAUAUCUAUUAAUAAAUGUCUACAUCCACAAAUUCACCGUAAUAAUAUAAGCAAAUAACAAAGAGAUUAUCACAAGCAAAACAGUUGGUGUAAUAUCGAUAGCAAUACCGAACGCUAAUUUCAAGUCAAAUAAAAGCAUUGCCACAUAUGGAACCUUUACGAAGUAAAAUUUUCC